AACAGAGAAUAGCUUGCUAUUUUGCUGACGAGUGGCGGACGGGUGAGUAAUGCUUGGGAAUAUGCCUUAUGGUGGGGGACAACAGUUGGAAACGACUGCUAAUACCGCAUAACAUCUCCGGAUCAAAGUGGGGGACCUUCGGGCCUCACGCCAUAAGAGUAGCCCAAGUGGGAUUAGCUAGUUGGUAAGGUAAUGGCUUACCAAGGCGACGAUCCCUAGUUGGUCUUAGAGGAUGACCAGCCACACUGGAACUGAGACACGGUCCAGACUCCUACGGGAGGCAGCAGUGGGGAAUAUUGCACAAUGGGCGCAAGCCUGAUGCAGCCAUGCCGCGUGUGUGAAGAAGGCUUUCGGGUUGUAAAGCACUUUCAGCGAGGAGGAAAGGUUGUACUUUAAUAGAGUGCAGCUGUGACGUUACUCGCAGAAGAAGCACCGGCUAACUCCGUGCCAGCAGCCGCGGUAAUACGGAGGGUGCGAGCGUUAAUCGGAAUUACUGGGCGUAAAGCGCGCGUAGGUGGUUAAUUAAGUCAGAUGUGAAAUCCCAGGGCUCAACCUUGGAACUGCAUUUGAAACUGGUUGACUAGAGUUUUGUAGAGGGUGGUAGAAUUUCAGGUGUAGCGGUGAAAUGCGUAGAGAUCUGAAGGAAUACCAGUGGCGAAGGCGGCCACCUGGACAAAGACUGACACUGAGGCGCGAAGGCGUGGGGGAGCAAACG
rnacentral:rRNA from 1 species